AUUGAACGCUGGCGGCAUGCCUUACACAUGCAAGUCGAACGGCAGCGGGGACUUCGGUCGCCGGCGAGUUGCGAACGGGUGAGUAAUGCAUCGGGACGUACCCGGAAGUGGGGGGUAACGUAGCGAAAGGUACGCUAAUACCGCCUAUUCUGUGAGCAGGAAAGAGGGGGAUCUUCGGACCUCUUGCUUUCGGACUGGCCGGUGUCAGAUUAGCUAGUUGGUGCGGUAAAGGCUCACCAAGGCGACGAUCUGUAGCGGGUCUGAGAGGAUGAUCCGCCACACUGGAACUGAGACACGGUCCAGGCUCCUACGGGAGGCAGCAGUGGGGAAUUUUGGACAAUGGGCGCAAGCCUGAUCCAGCCAUGCCGCGUGAGUGAAGAAGGCCUUCGGGUUGUAAAGCUCUUUCGGCCGGGAAGAAAUCGCAUGGAUUAAUACUCUGUGCGGAUGACGGUACCGGCAUAAGAAGCACCGGCUAACUACGUGCCAGCCGCCGCGGUAAAAC
rnacentral:rRNA from 1 species